UCAUCAAAUUCUGUCACAUCAUUUAGGGCAGGAUUAAGGCCCUCCCCCCUAUAUCGAGGCUGAGCAACAUAUCCCUCUAUAGGGAAUUGCCUCGAAAAAGCCGGCCUCCCAUGGGGAGUCAUCAAAUUCUGUCACAUCAUUGGGGCAGGAUUAAGGCCCUCGCCCCCUGUAUCGAGGCUGAGCAACAUAUCCCUCUAUAGGGAAUUGCAUCAAAAAAGCACGUUCAUGCACAAUGGUUGCACCCCAAAACUUCCAAGUUCCCCAACUGUCAUCUACAUUCAGGGGGCAUAUUUCAGUCUUAUGCCGGUUCUCAAGUUGUCAGUCUGGGUCUGUGAGCUUCCACUUUCUCAGAUCAGCUGUUUCUGAGGCAUGGUCUUGACCCCUUUGCUUAUCACUCCUCCCUCUUUACAACUGGACUCCAGGUGUUCAGCCUAGUGCUUAGCUGUGAAUCUCUGCUUCUGCUUUCAUCAAUUACUGGAUGAAGGCUUUAUGAUGACAAAUAAGGUAGUCAUCAAUCUGAUUAUAGGAGGAAGGGCAUUUAAGGUAGCCUAUCCACUAUUGCUGAGAUUCUUAGGUGGGGUCAUCCUUGUGGAUUCCCUGGAAUUUUCCUAGUGUUAGGUUUCUCCUUAACCCCAUAAUGGCUUCCUCUAUUGGGCUGGAGGGAUGGCUGAGACAUUAAAGGAUAGGCUCACAACCAAAAAUAUAAGAGGGAAGCAUGCUCCAUGAUGGGAGCAUAGACCAAGACAGUAAGCACAGCUCUCAGUCCUGGUGGUAAACGUACCCCAUCCAUUUUGGAAAGACAGUGACUAAAAUAUAGGUUGCUUUAAUUUUUCUUUUGACAGGGAUUCUCUGUGUAGCUUUGGAGCCUAUCCUGGCACUUGCUCUGGAGACUAGACAGGCCUCGAAUUCACAGAGAUCCACCUGCCUCUCCCUCCCGAGUGCUGGGAUUAAAGGUGUGUACCACCAACACCCGUCUGCCACUUUAAUUUUAGCAAUGUUGUUUAGCAGAUAAAAGACCAUGUGGCCAGAACAACGUAGAUUUACAGUAAAGACAGAUUCAGAUGAAGAAAAACCCCAGAAGGUUUACAAUGUUUUAAAAAAUAUACAUAGUAUUAUAAGAGAAAAAUAAACAGGAUAAAUAAUUGAAAGAAAUAAAGAGGCAGUGUGGUGAUGCUGCACGCCUUUAUUCUCAGCACUCCAGAGCAGAGUCAGCUGAAUUUUUACAGAAAAACCCUGUCUCAGGAAAAAAGAAAAAGAAAGAAGGAAUUAAAAGAAAUAAAAUAUUAAAAAGCCAGGUAAAUGGAAAAUACUCAUAGAGUCUGAAUACUAUAUGUUAUACUGUUGUCUUAAAUUGUUUCAUUGCUAAAGAAAGAACUACAGCUGCUAAAAGAUAUUGAUUAUAAGUGCUGCUAAAUUAAUCCAACUUAUACAUUUUUAAAAUGCUUUGACUUCAAAAUUUAAAUCUGGGCUGGAGACAUGGCUUAGUGGUUAAAAGCAUUGACUGCUCUUCCAGAGGACCCAGGUUCAAUUCCCAGCAUCCACAUGGAAGCUCACAACUGUAAUUCCAGUUCCAGGGGAUUUGACACCUCCACACCAAUGAAUAUAAAAUAAAGUUAAAUUUAAAAAAAAUUAUGUCUCAGGACUGGCUACUUGGGAAAGAAUUUCUGCUUUUGUUUCCACAGAAAAUAUAAAGCUAUGGAUGCCUUCCAGAGUAAUAUGGUUUGAUGAAGUAUGACCCCCCGAAACAGUGACCCAGGUGAUCCAACAUCUAAAACAGAAGAGUUGGUACAGCCUUAGAGACUACAAAAAAAGGACCUGGCCCUGUUUCUGUGUUUUAUCAUGAUCCCCAUGGUAUGGACAUCACCCCAAACCAGCAGGAAGCAGUUUGGAAUCAACAACGCCCAAAUUUCCCAAUGUUGUUUAUAAAUGUUUGUUUUCAUUUAAAUGGGGUUAGUUAUAAAUGGUAAUGAUCACAUUCAAUCUAUUCUUAAAGGAAAAAAGGGGAAUAGGAUAUAGAAAUGAAUGCUUUACCUUUGUAUGUAUUUUCAUUUAUUGAUACACAUUUAAGGUUAAUUUUGCUAUAUGUAAAUAUCUCUUGUUCGGUAUUGUGUUUAUACAGAUCUUUUAAAAUGUAAUGCAUAGUUAAAUACAGAUUGUAUAUAGUCAGGUAUAAUAGUCAAAACUUAUAGUUAGGUUACUUAGGUUGUCUAGAUAUACAAAGACAUAUUUGAGAUGUAUAGGUAUUCUUCAAACCUUUCAAAGACCCACAGAAUAAUGGUAUUUUAAAUGGUUUAGGAUUUUAAUGACAGUGAAACACAACUGUUCUUGGCACAUCAAUUACAUCAGAAAGGAGGAUGAGCAUUGAAGAAUUUUUUUAUGGAGUUUGCCUUCAACAUGGCAAGAUAAACCAUUUGGUCAAGAAACUACUCUUGCCUGGACUGUUUGAUAAACUGGACAUGUAGGACACUCAGGAAAGUGCCUACUGAACUUGCAAAAUAAGAGAGUUGUGAAGGGUUCCUACAUCAUGGAGAAGUAUGCCAGACACAUUGUGGCCUAUAGGCUGAAGAUGGAUGCCCCCACCUUACAGAGGAACUUUGGGUGACUCUCCAAGUAUCGGGAUGUCUCUGUCAGAUCCAGAGUUGAUAGGUUAUCCUUCUGUGGUCUUAAU
rnacentral:lncRNA from 1 species